GGAGACCUCACUCAUCAGUUCGACGCCAGUUCGUUGCCCAUUAUGGAUACCCACAUCUCACGAGUGACGUCAGCACUGCCUUCCACUCUGUGGCUCUUGGGAUCAUCUGAAGACCUCCCGGAUCACACUCACCGCUUUAAGCCCUCCAGCCACGCCAUCAGCCGCCGUCAAGACCGGACCUCAUUCAUCCACAACUACUACCAGCUUUGGAGAAUCAAUAAAUCCUUUCUCACCAAA